rnacentral:lncRNA from 1 species
AUUCCUAUGUCUGUUAAGAACACUUCAGGAGUUUCUGUUGAUUACAAGGUAAGAUCAACAUGAAACUUCACUUUAUGAGAUAGGCUGAGAAAGUAACCUUAUCUAAAGUGGCCAUACAGAGAUUUUUUUUUGCCAAAAUCUUACCAUUUACUGUUCUUCCUUGUUUCAUAUAGAAAAAAGUGCUGGGCCUCUCUUGCUUCUCUUUCCUUGACUCUGUAACCAUUUAACCAGAUAGCGCAGUUGCUAUUCUAACACAGUUCUUCUUUCCCAGUAUACAUAGUAUGUUUUUAUUAAAUUCAUUAUUCAUAUUUCUUAGCUUCUUUUUGUCACAUCAGGAGUUGUAAGCAAGAAUAGUAAUGAUACACAUCAGGAGUUAUAAGCAAGAAUGAUAAUAAGGACGUUGCAACAAAUAAAAUUUAGUGCAAGUGCAAUGCUGCUCCCCCUGAGCCUCCAUAUAUCUCUCCUGGCUUUGUGUUGAAGAAUCACAGACCCAAAAUGCCUCCAGCUACACAAAUGGUUGGGGGAUUUGGGUCUUUAGAAUGAAAGGUUCUGUUUGUGUGUUUUCAAGUUCUCAGUGGCCAUUGUACAUUGCAAAAAGAUAUCAAGAAAGCUCUUAGCUGGAGAAAGAUUUGUUGCAGCCCAUUUUCCUCAGAUACUAUUGUAGCAGAUUAUAAAAAUAAAAUGAGUUUAAUUUUAUGGAAAUGAUGCAAAAAAUGCUUGCAUAUUUAACCUCAGACUCUUUGUUGUAGGAGUGGAUGAUAACACGUACUUGUUUACUCUUUUUUCUGCUACAGAAAGAUCACUUCUAUGAAAAGAGGGAGGAAACAUGGAGAUAUGUGCAUUACUAUUAUAAAUUGGGACACACGCAGUUUCCUUUGUUGUUCUCCAAACCAUGAUGAGUAAGCAAGCCCAUUAACUCAACGAGCAAUAUAGUGAAGACUUUUGCAAAAUACUUCAGAAGAAAAGCAGAAAAAUCUCUAUAACCACAGGUGAGCAAUAAAAUAGCUAUAAGGCAAAAGUAUUGUUUGCA